CCUCCCCCAGACCAUCCACCUUCUUCCCCCCGGUCAAAUCCCGACCCCGACUCCACCACCAGCGCCCUCCCCCCCACUACCUUCCACGGCGGUGCGCCCCAACCCACUCCAACCGCCGGCAGGACCCCACCCACCUACCAUGGCCGGUGCGACCCCAACCCCCUCCCAUGGCCGCGCGCACCCAUCUACCUCCCAUGGCCAGCGCCCCCUCCUACCGCCGGCUGCCACCGACGACGGAUCCACGACCCUCACCACCGGAUCCGCCAUCGUCUGGAUCCACAUGACCGCGUCCCAACCUUCGACGGGGCCCUGUCGAUGCUCUUACCGACCAUGGACCUGUGCCUCCACCUCCCCCGGUGCGGCCACAACCACCGGAUCCAGCCGCCACCGGCCCCCAAUGCGACCUCACCCGCCCGAUCCGGCCGCCACCGCCCCCCUACGACCACUACCGGAGCUACUAUGCGCGACAUUUGGUUGCCCGCAAUCGCGGAUCCCUGCCGUCGCACCGGCGGAUGACUCAGGUGAAAAUUGCAUUAGUGCAGCCCACUCCGUCUGUUGUUUUUUUGGGCUCAAAUGCAGGUCACUACGUCCACAUCGUUGGUGCUUCGAGGGUCGACCUGCAGUUAGCCCCUACCCUCCGUGUCCUAGCGGCCACCACAUGCGGGCGACUGCACCCAUCGUCAGCACGAGAAGGGGUCCUCCGACGAGUGCGCGUGCAGUACCCUUUAGGGGUGAGGCACUUGCUUUUUGGCUGUCGACACCUCCAUCACCCAGUUUUGGCUGUCGAUGGAGACCAUCGGUGAAGUUUGCCACCUCCCCGCCUUCUACUGCCGCGCUGAGUGGUCAUGCAGAUCCUGCAGGGCUCCAGCCCGGCGUGCACAGCUCGUGCGCACACAUGAUCCGGUUCAGUGCUAGGGCACUCGCAGUCUUUUUUGCGUGCAGCUGCAGUCCGUUUGGACUUCGUGUGUAGUGAAGUUCGGGCGAGCCAUGAUGACAGAAAAGGAAGGAAAUUAAGUGGGUCGGAAAGGGAACAGAAUUAAAACCCCACUUGCCGAGGAGACAACAAUCCGCAAGCAUCAUGCGCAUGCAGUUCCUUUUGUAUAUGCUUACAAUGCGGUGUGUGUAUGUGUGCUGUACACCCCCAUCGCUUAUUUUGUGUGGCAGCUCAUUAGACCUCUGUAUGAAGUGCGUCGUCUGUCUCGAGUACAUUAACAUUUGCAGUGCGUUUGCUCCCCGGAUGUGGUUCACUUUUGAGAGUGAUGUUGUUCACUUGCGCCCACCAUGAAAGUGCAAAAAAAUAGCGCAACAACAAAGAUUGUAAUGAGGUUCACUUCGAUA